rnacentral:lncRNA from 1 species
CCCAUUGAUAACUAAUAUUUUGUGAGGAGUAAGGAGAGAAAAAUCUUGAUCGCUAUUACAACUAUCAUUCAUAUCAACAAUGACUUCCGCGGGUAUGAAUUCGUUUCUAUUAAUUAAUUGUUUGGUGAUUCUUGAUUCUUGAUAUGAUUACAAAUAAAUUUCAACAAUUGGUAUUAGUGUCUAAUGCUAAGAUCAAAAUCGUAUAUAAAACUAAUAUUCUUUCUUCAAUUUUGGCCGAAUAAUUACAAAGUUUUUACUGCCACACAUGGUAACCCAAUGACACGCAUACGCUCACUUUCUCUAUCUAGAUAUUCAAAUAGCUACUCUUCUCUUUUGGAAAUUGCAUCAAUUAAUGAUCUCUCUCUCUCUCUCUCUCUCUCUCUCUCUCUCUCUAUAUAUAUAUAUAUAUAUAUAUAUAGACACAAACUGCUCAAUGAAUAUUGUAUGAGAAGAGUCACGAAAAUUCUAAUUCACAUAUGCAUGCAAUUCUCAUGCUCUCGUGGGUCCUUAUUUAUUCCAGUGAUUUUGUAUUUAAUUCUUUGUUUAAAACUAGAAUGUAGAUCCAUAUAUUUGAAAUUUUUUUUAUGGGAUUUUGGAGUUCUAACCUUAUCUUUGUACUAAUCGACAUGUCGUAAAGGUUUGUAUUGUUGAGUUUUUCUUUUCUUUCUUCAUUGAUGAUUUAUCUGCUUGGUAGAUUGCCGCCGCUACUUGGCGCUACUUGGCGGCUUGUGGUUUUCGGUUUCUAAGUGAUGAAGAUGGGGGUUGUGAUGUAAAUAACAUACUUGUGAGACCCCGCAUGCAAUUAGAGAAAAGGGCCUAUUUUGCAAAUAUUAAGAGAAGGACAUGUUAUGUAAUAUGUAUAAUCAGGGUCAAAGUGCAAUUUUCGAAAGGAGUAUUAAAUUUAAAUUUGGAAAGGGGUUUUAAAUUGGAUUUUUAAAGUUUCGACUCUAAAAUUUCAAUUUUGACUCAAAUUAAAAUUUUAUUUAAAAUUGACCUGUUUAAUAUAAUAAUAAUAAUAAUAAUAAUAAUAAUAAUAAUAAUAAUAAUAAUAAUAAUAAUAAUAAGAUAUUUCACGACUUCUAUAUUCCUGUCAAAAUGUUUAUUUAUUUAAAUGUUGAUAUUGUUCGUCAGUAUAAAUUUUUAUUUUCAUUUUUCACAUAUAUUGAAAUUUUGUUGCCCAUUUCGUCUCUCAAUCACAUAUGAAUUUUGUCCUUCAUUGAUUGACGAUUAUGAUUUGUUGCAUAAUUAUUAUUCUGUGAUUAAAUUUUUCAUAGGCUUUAAAACAUUUCUUAUUUUCCCACUAAAAGAGAAAUAUUUUGAAAUAAAAAUGGGUGGUAGCUGCCAAAGUGACACUCUCAUUAUUGUUUGUUUGAUUUUCUCUACAAUAAAAAUAUAUAUAUAUAUUUUUUUUGUGCAACAAUUUUGAUCUAUUGCAUAUAAUAUCUUGCCCAAAGGUGUUAUUAUAUGUGAUGUUUUGAAAAAUGGCAUAAGGUAGUUAACGAGUUUACCUUGAUUUAGAAAUUUCCUUCUACCCAAAGGUGUUGGUAUUUCGAAAAUCAAUGUGAUUUUGUUAACUAGUUAUAUGAUGUGUUUUAAGAGUCUCUUAUAGUAUGUUAUAUUGUCGGCCCAAAGGUGACUUUAUAAUGAUGCAUCUAGGCUCUUACAGUAAUAAAAUUCAUAUGAUUUUGAUUUAAAUUACAGAUUAUCUAAUUAAUAACCCAUAUUAAUUAGUUGGAUAUUACAUCAUUCAUUUGAUUGCAUGCAUUACGUAUGGAUGAUAUUAAGAGUGAUAUUUUAUGUUUUCACAGUUUAUAAUGCCUCAUCUUUUUCGAAUCAAUUGUCUGCUAUUAAAAUCUUGACAGAGAAUAACUAUGUGAGAUGGAAACGAGACGUAGAAAUAACACUUGAUCUUUCGGGUUUGGAUUUUGCAAUGGAGAAAAAACUUGAGAAACCCACAGAGAAGAGUACCUUUGAAUAUGUAGCCAAGUAUGAAAAGUGGAAAAGGGUUAACAAACUCUGUUUGAAAAUCAUUAAGCGAUCGAUAUCUGAUUCUAUUUUAGGUGUCAUCCCUGAUAAUGAAAAUGCCAAAAGUUUUAUGGAUGCCAUAGGAGAAAAAUUUGUUGAGUUUGAUAAAGUCGAAAUUGGGGAUCUGAUGGAUAAAUUGAUGAGCACGAGAUAUGAUGGUAUAAGUGGUGUUAGGGAGCAUGUCAUGAAAAUGAUAAAUAUAUCAUCUAAGUUAAAGGCUCUUGACAUUCCCAUUGCUGAGCCUUUCCUGGUCUAUCAUGUUUUGAAUAGCCUUCCUAUCAAGUUUAAUCAAUUUAAGGUUGCUUACAAUGCUCAACGAGAUAAAUGAAAUUUGAAUGACCUCAUAGAAGUGUGUGCCCAAGAAGAGUAUAGGAUGUGCCGUGAAACUGUUGAAACUGUGCAAUUAGCUUUUCAGUCAUCACAGAAUAAGGGGCCUUCUCAUAAUCAUAAACUUAAGUUUCAUAAGGGUAAUAAGUCCCACCGAAAUCAGCAGAAUAAAAAUUUUAGUAGUCCUAAAGGAGUUAUAAAGAAAAAUGAUUAAUGCAAGUUCUGUAAAAAGAAGGGUCACUACAGAAAGACUGUUUUAAGUUCAAGACUUGGUUGGAAAAGAAGAAGAGUUCUCCAGGUAUUCCCUUGGCUUUAGUUUGUUUUGAGUCUUCUUUAGUAGACGUGCCUUUGAAUUCUUGGUGGUUAGACUCACGAGCUAGUAUUCAUAUUGCGAAUUCCUUACAGGGGUUCAUAAGAAAACGGAGGCCAAGUGAGAAUGAAGUAAGCUUGAGCGUUGCAAAUGGAUUUCAAGUAAAGGUUGAAUUCAUAGGAGUAGUGAAGUUAAUUUUAGAGUCUGGUUUUUAUCUUAUUUUGGAAAAUACAAUUUAUGUAUCGCAGAUGAGACGGAAUUUAAUUUCUAUACCGAAACUUGAUGCUUGUGGUUUUACAUUUAAUUUUGGUAAUGAAAUGGUUAAGUUAUUUAAUGAUUCUCGUUUGAUUGGGAAUAUCAUUUUAUGUGAUGAUUUAUAUAAAUUAUCGUUGGCUUCUUUUGGUGAUGUCUCAUGUGUUACCAAUGUAUAAAAAAAAAAGAACUUUAAUUCAUGAAUCAUCCUCUAUGUUGUGGCAUAAGCGUUUGGGUCAUAUCUCUAAGGAUAGAAUGGAAAGAUUAGUAGAAGAUGAGGUACUUCCUUCCUUAGACUUCUCCGAUUUUGACACCUGUAUAGAUUGUAUAAGAGGAAAGUUAACUAAGUCUACGAGGAAGCGUUCAGCUAAAAGUAAUGGAAUUUUGGACUUAAUUCACACUGCUAUCAGUGGACCUUUGCCUUUCACUAUAUGCGGGAAUAAAUAUUUCAUAACUUUCAUUGAUGAUUUAUCACGAUAUGGAUAUGUUUACAGUUAACGAUAAAUCACAUACACUUGAGAAAUUCAAAGUUUUCAAACUGGAAGUAGAGAAACAAUGUAGAAAAAGUAUCAAAGUUGUGAGAUCUGACCGAGGUGGUGAGUACUAUGGGAAAUAUGACGAAUCUGGUCAAAAUAUGGGUGAUUUUGCAAAGUUUUUACAAAAGUGUGGAAUAGUGCCCCAAUACACCAUGCCAAGGACACCUGAGCAGAAUGAUGUUUUUGAAAGAGUAAUCAAACUCUAAAAGAUAUGGUUAGAAGUAUGAUGAGUAGAACAAAUUUGCCUGAAUAUUUGUGGGGUGAAGCCUUGAAAACAGCUAUUUAUAUUUUGAAUAGAGUUCCAAGUAAAGUUGUUGCAAAGACACCUUUUGAAUUAUGGAUAGGACGUAAGCCAAGUAUGGCUCACUUUAAAGUUUAGGGAUGUCCAGCUGAGGUUACGAUUUAUAAUCCAUUUGAAAAAAAAUUAGACCCUAAAUCAACUCCUGGCUACUUUAUUGGGUAUCCGGAUAAAUCAAAAGGAUAUAAAUUUUACUGUCCAAAUCGCGGCACUAGAAUUGUGGAGUCCAUUACUGCUAAGUUUCUGGAGAACGAUUUUGGAAAUAAUGGGAGUUCCACGUUAAGAGAAAUUCAUGUUGAACCUAAUCAAGUUGUUGUUCUAGUUCUUGUCAUACAGGAAAGAGUUGGUUCUCAACCAAUUGAAGUUGUUAAUGAAGAACUGAGGAACCAAGAGGAGUCUCCAAUUCCUCAAACAACGAUUGAAUCGGUUUCUGAGCCACAAGUUAGGAAAUCACAAAAGGAAAGAAGAUUUGCAUUGCCCAGUGAUUAUAUUGCAUAUUUAUUAGAGAGCGAUUUUAAUAUUGGGCAUAUUGUUGAUCCGUAACUUAUAACCAAGUAUUGACAAGUCCUCAUGCAGAUAAAUAGAUAGCUGCCAUGGAAGAUGAAAUGAAUUCCAUGGAAAGGAAUAAAGUUUGGGAUCUUGUUGAACUUCCUCCAGAUACUAAGGCUAUAGAUAACAAGUGGAUCCUCAAAAGGAAAUUAGAUUCAAAAGGAAAUGUUUAACGAAAGAAAGCAAGAUUGGUUGCAAAAGGUUUCACUCAACGAGAGGGCAUUGAUUAUGUUGAAACCUUCUCCCCUGUUUCGUCAAAAGAUUCUUUUCGAAUUAUCAUGGCUGUUGUGGCACACUACAAUUUGAAGCUUCAUCAAAUGGAUGUUAAGACAACAUUUUUGAAUGGAGAUCUUUCUGAAAUGAUUUAUAUGAAACAACAUGAAGGUUUUGUUGUGAAAUGAAAAGAGAACUUGGUAUGUAAGUUAAACAAAUCAUUAUAUGGACUUAAACAAGCAUCUCGACAGUGGUAUUUGAAAUUUGAUGAGGUUAUGACCUCUCUUGGUUUUGUUGAAAAUACUAUUGAUCCAUGCAUUUAUCUUAAAAUUAGUGGGAGAAAUUUUAUUUUCCUUGUACUAUAUGUUGAUGAUAUUCUACUUGCUAGCAGUAACUUAGGGUUGCUUCAUGAGAUAAAGAAAAUGUUGUCUGCUAAUUUUGAGAUGAAAGAUCUUGGAGAAGCUUCCUAUAUACUUGGCAUUGAAAUAUAUCGUGAUAGAAAUCGUGACUUAUUGGGACUUUCUCAGAAAGCUUAUAUACGACGUGUUCUAGAAAGAUUUAAAUGCAAAAUUGUGCACCUGGUGAUGUACCUAUCAUAAAAGGAGAUAAAUUUAACAAAACUCAAUGUCCAAGAAAUGAGCUAGAAAGGGAAUCUACGAAGAUGAUUCCAUAUGAUAGUCCUAUGGGGAGCUUGAUGUAUGCUCAAGUUUGCACUAGACCGGAUAUAGCUUAUGCAGUAAGUGUCCUUAGCAGAUUUCAGUCUAAUCCAGGACAAGAGCAUUGGAAAGCAAUUAAGAAAGUUAUGAGAUAUUUGAAGAAAACUGAAGGUUAUAUGCUUACAUUUUAGCGUACAAAUCAUCUUGAGGUGGUAGGAUAUUCAGAUUCUGAUUUUGCUGGAUAUCAACAUGAUUUGAAAUCAACCUCAGGUUGAAUUUUUACAUUAGCCGAUGGUGCCAUUUCUUGGAAAAGUGCUAAAGAGACUCUAAUGACAUCUUCUACUAUGCAAGCUGAAUUUGUGGCAUGUAUGAGGUUACAGUCCAAGCCAUUUGGUUAAGAAAGUUGUUGAUUCCAUCUCAAGACCGAUCACUAUUUACUGUGAUAACAGUGCAGUAGUAUUCUUUUCAAAGAAUAAUAAAAGUUCUGGUGGAUCAAAACAUAUUGAUAUCAAAUAUUUUUUUGUUAGAGACAGAGUCAAAGAAGGGCAGAAGAAAAUAGAGCAUAUCAAUACAGAGGCGAUGGCUGCAGAUCCCUUGACUAAGGGACUCACUCCAAAAGUCUUUAAGACACAUGUUACUAAUAUGGGUAUUGUGGAAACAUUUGAUAUUUUUGGUUAGUGUGAGUUAUUUAUGUAAAGAACUACGUUUUGAGUUUGAUCCCUUUACAGGGUACGUAGGCAACCCAUAGGUUUUCGGGUACAGUCCCUUCUGACAAUAAAAUAUUUUCCCCUAUCCAUGGAUUAUUUUGACCAUGCAUUUGACUUAUAUCUUUUAUUAUAAUAUUAUUGUGAUCUUGAGAUAUGACAUGUAAAGACAUAAGAUGAGUCUCUUUUGGAGACAUGUGGCUUCAUUUUGAUCAGAAGCAUUAUGAGGACCGAUAUGAAUUAGCAUAGUUUUGAUCACAUCUGGUUGCUAAGUUCAUACCGCAUACUAACACAUUAGUUGGAGGAUGGGGAUCCAUGUCGAUAAGGAUGUUGACAUUUGUCGCUGUGGGAUGAUCUUACAUUGGUUAAUUGGUGUAAUGACUUCCAUGUUCGGUGUUAAUAUUCUUGUUGGAUUGGAUCAUAUUGCGUAAGGUGUCAUCAUUGGAGCUAUACUUUUGUGGCCACCUAUGUAAUCUAACCCGAGUGUUAAAACUUUGUUAUAGUAAUCAAAUGUUUGCUCAAGUAGGAGAAUGUUGGAAUAAUUAAUAGUUCCAUAUUGGGCUUCACAUUCGAUUGCAAAUUUUACGGGUUAGAUGUAUGGCUCAUAAUGAUAUUUGUGUUUGAGCCAAAUUUAUUAAGUGAUCAAUUGUGCCUUCUACACCUUACGGGUUGUAAUUAAUUUGAUGUGGUAAUUUAAAGUAUGUGGGCCGAAAAUAAACCCUAAUUAGAAUUCUAAUCGUAAUGGGACGGCUCAAUUAUUUCCUAUAUAAAGGCUAGAUCCCCUCUCCUCUCCAUAUGUUUUUGGCUUGCCCUAUUGAUAGCUAAUAUUUUGUAAGGAGUAAGGAGGGGAAGAUCUUAGCCGCUAGUACAACUAUCAUUCAUAUCAACAAUGACUUCUGCAUGUAUGAAUUCAUUUCUAUUAAUUCAUUGUUUGGUGAUUCUUGAUUCUUGGCAUGAUUACAAAUAAAUUUCAACAUAAAAAAGAAGGGAACUUCCAACUCUAGACACAGCACAAUGAAAUUUGUGAUACUUGGCAGUAGAAGAUGAUGGCACAUCUGAAAUAGGAAAUUAGAUGACUCGGAAUAUCUUAAGCAGAUGUGUAAACAGGAAUUUGGAUUGUCCGAAUUCGAGUUACAUUGUAGUUGAUCGAUCAUUCUGCUACGGUAACUUGACUGCAUUUGUGUCGGUCUUUUUAAAAAAAAUUCAAAUGUUAUUAUUGUUAUUGUUAUUGUUAUUACUAUCACGAACAAGAUUAAUAAGAACUGUUAUUUGUUUACUAAGAAUUGGACACCAUCUGCUCUUGUGAAAUGGAAAUCUAGACUUCACAUACAUUUGAAUAUAAAUGUAUGUUUGAGCCACAUUAUUUUUGAAAAAUGUAUUUUGAAAUAGUAGAUUGAUGGAGAAUGUGUGGUUAAAAAAUAAGAAAAAAUUUUAGAUUUGCGUAUAGUAUUAUUUUAUUGAAAAAUGUGUGGUUGAAAUGAUAUCAAAUCACUAUUUAAUAAUGUAUUUUUUCAAAUUAAUGAGGCUCAAACAAGGCAAAAAUUUGUUUAUCAAUGAAUUAAUUAUAAUUAAUUAUUCAAAUGACCCACCUUUGAUGGUUUGUUAUACUUUUAGGCAACAUUUUUUAAUUGAGUAAUGUUCUUUAGCAUUACUGGUAUUUGACAUUAGUUUAGAUAGCACCAUGAUAUUAAAUUACAAAUUCAAUUAAAUAAAUGUAAUUAUGGUCCAUUUGAUAGGAGUUAUGAUAUGCUGACAUUGAGCCCUUGUUUGAUAAGGAUACAAAUUUAGAUUUUAAUCUAAAUCAAAAUCAAUAAUUAAUUUUAAUUACAUAUUUUAUGCGUCCCACAACUUUUUAAUCACACAUUAGAUCAACUUCUAUAAAUAUCUAAACGUGUAGUCAUCCCUUAUUGGAUAUCAAUUAAUUUUCAGAUGAAAUAAUUAAAUUGUGGUCCUACUAUGUUGAUGUGUCGAGCUUGUUAUACCUUCUAAGUUCUAAUUACCCGUUUUUCAGUUCAUUUCCAAGAAAGAAUUAGUAAAUAGUAAUUUGUCAUCUACACCAAUGACUUGUUGGUCCAAAUUAUUUUACUUAAUUGACUAGUUUUUCAUUUGAUCCUGGUCGACCUUCGACGUCGGAUUUGUACAAAUAAAGGUUAACAUUAAGGAACAAAACAGUCUCCUUGCAGGCAAAGUUGCUCUUAAACCCAAUUCUAGCCUUCAAAAAUUACACCGCAAGUCUCAACUGCCAAAGAACAGACAUGAACAAAGAACAUUGUAAAAGAUUAUAUUUGGAGAAACCAAAUUUCAGCCUGUGUUUGGGGAACCUGGUCAGGGAAUUUGGAACCAAGCUCCAGUUAUGAGAAAAUAAGAAAUGGGUCCAAACUCGGUCCUGCGAACAAUGCCACGAACGGGAGGGGACCCAUGCAGAGGCUGGCGAGGAGCAGUGGGAUGAGAAGAGAUUGGAGCUUCGAGGAUGUCAGAAGGCGGUUCAAGGACAGUAAAGAAUGAGAUGGUGUUUUAGAUUAUUGUGUCUUUAUUAAUGCAUUUCUCCAGUAUUUGGAGACUAAGAAACAAUGGUCGUCGUAAUCAUGUUUAAGUUUCUAACCAGAUGCUCGUGUAGGUGUUUGAAAACACACCAAUUGUAACUGCCUGGCA